ensembl:lncRNA
CACUGAGGCAACACUUUAUUGUCCGCCCAUCCACAUAGAACAACAGGCCUUUAUCAAAUGGUUCGUCGCGAGAUGCAGGAAGCAAAGCCAUCAGUAUCUAGAUUCCGAAUGGUAUUUGACACACUGUACGUGGAAGCCGCAUUUUUUUUAAAAUGCACGUACCACGAAACAAUAACAAUAACUUACAGAACACAGAGCAAUCACUGAGCAACUACCCAACCCUGCCCCCCCCCCUCUGCCAUGGAUUGUGCAUCCCAUUUCAGUAGCUGUACCUUUACAGGAACACACUAGUGGAAGGGUCCGGACGAAGCCUUGCACAGAUAGCCUCUUAAAUAUUUGAGAUGUAGUAGAGGACAGCUGCAGCCUACUUGUUUCCCAGAAAUAGAAAAAAGAAUACAGGCAAAAACACUGCACAAUAUGACACCGCAGAUAAAAAAGCCCUGUCAUUGUUUUAUGACAAUAUCAAAAUAUUGCUUCGCCCCUAUAUUUUAUCUUGGGGUUCUACGUGAGGGAAUAACAGAUGAGGGUAUUGGAGACUGUUAAGCGCAUUCUGAUUCAACUGUGAGCUGGAGGAAGUUUACUUGAGUGGAGUUUGGAGAGGGGCUUUUCUGAGGCCUUGUGCAGCCUUAAAGCUAGUAGAAAAGGCAGUCAGGCCGCCUGCUGAUUUGACCAUUAGCAUCCCGUUUCCCACACAGCCAGCCUCAGCCUCAGAUCAGAGAGGCAUCCGAAUGUAUAAGACUUGAGGCGCGCCCACACAAACACACACACACACACACACACACACACACACACACACACACACACACACACACAAACACACACACAAACAGCUAUAAGAUCAAAAGGUGACUUGUCGGGUUUAAUGAGAGGGUUGUAUUGAAGGUGAUCUUGAUGUUAUACAGUUGAAUGUGCUAUAUAUACAUAUAUACAUAUUGGAUUUGAUCUGUUACACAAAGUGAAUCUGCUGUGUGUGCAAGCAGAGCUGUAUGCGUGCGUGCGUGUGUGUGUGUGGGUGAGAGAGAGUGUUUGGUAGCGUGAGAUAGGAGAACUGAGGAGAGACAUAAUUAAAGAUAAGAGACGCGGCAGGGUGGUGGCAGAUGUGUGGCUCUCAGAUUAGGUGCCCACGAGUCCGAGAGCCUAAUCCCGGCGGUGGUCAGAACAGUGUGGUCCUCAUCAUCGCCCCACAUACGGGGGCGACCGGGCGGAUGAUAAUCCACCCGUCGCCCCCAUAUGGCCAGGGCUUGGACGGGAUUACGCUCUCUGGCGUUUAUAUCUUCCAGCGUUCAUCUCUCCUCCUCAGCCUUCCCUACUCCUCUUUUAAAUCACUGCCGUUCAUGCCUGUGCCCAUGCCAAUCACAAUCACAACAACAACAACAACAACAAUGACGACAACACCUAGAUAGAGAAACAGGUAGGUAGAUAGAUAGGAAGACAUAAUCGAUAGACUUAGUCACAAUCCCAAGUUGUUUUGUUGUCAUGAUCAUUUUAAAGGAUCGCCCAUACAUGUGCUUCUUGUAUCUGCCAGAAACACAACAUGUGACGUGAUCUCACUCUCCCCCUCUCUGUCCCUGUUUCCGCCAUUUGUUUGUCUUUUGUUGAUCUGUGUCUGUGUGUCUUUGAGUGCCUAGAAAAGCAUAAAUACCAUGUAUUAUGUAAGGAUGUUAUGACAAAAAUAGGAUCUUUAGCGGCUGACGUCGUCAUCUUUAAGCGCGUGUUUAUUUGGACUCAACAGGCAUAUGCAAAACACAUUAUUAUACCGUCUGCAUUAUAAACAUCUCUCUCCUAUUUCUCUCUUAAGACACCAAGAAUUCCUACUAGACAAAGGACUCUGGCACAUGGAACAGUAACACACAGGGAAGAGGGUGCGCCGAAACUGCAAGAUACAGUUGGGUAUUUAAUCUAAUUUACGUAGUCACUUAGCACAACUCAUCUCAUUUUCUAUUGGCUUUGCGUGGGCCGCACAACGCUUCUCUAAAGAAGCAGCUAGAGCUACAUCAGCAUACACUUUACCGCUGUGCAGUGCCCCGAGAUAUCUUCAGCCUCCUACACCAGCAGCUAUAGCAGGCAGAUACCGUGCAGUGGGCUGCACAGCUGGGAACACGGCAACUCGCUGGGAGCUCUUUGUGCUUCAGGCGCAGAACCUCGCAUUGUUAGGAGCCCCCAUAGAGGGUGAAGACAUAACAUAACAUGGAUUUGGUUUUCACUUUGAACACGGUUCCCAAUUUAUUGCGAACGUCUCUCAAGAAAAGUGAAUUAUUCAAACACCCAGAAAGGACUCAUGUCGUCCCUACGUCCUAACAAGCUGCUUAUCAAUGGUUUGGCAAUACGAUAUGCUGACUGUAGAUUUGUUUCUGGAUUUUCGUUUCUAUACACGAAACCCUGAAGAGCAACAUAGUGUUCAAUACGGGUUUCAGCUGAAUAUAUUAACGUGUUUUCCUUAAAUGCUGUGCCCAGAACGUUUGCUCUAUUGUUUACAAAAUACUGCAAUGAUGUUGUUCUGCGAACGUCAAACGCAUCGGAAAGGGACAAGACUUUGCCAAAAGUUAAUAAAAAAGGGAACCUAGGAUCUUGGGCUCAUGGACUAGUCAUUAGUGUACUGUAUGUGUGUUUGUGUGUGUGUGUCUGUGUCUCUAUGUGUGUGUGUGUGUGUCGGUGUGUCUGUCCCUGUGUGUGUGUGUGUGUGUGUGCGUUACUGAUUAAAAUCCGUCCCACCCCGGGGCGGGUUCGGAGCCGGUGGACGACCUGUGUGUCCGCGUGGCUCUCCGGGCGCGGAGAGACACCAGGUUCAGCAGUCUCUCCAGCUCGUCCCCGGCCCCCCCCGCCCCGCCCUGCUCCCCCGGCUCGGCCUCUGGUCCCAGGCACUCCUCCGUCCGCCCCCCGUCCCAGGCCCGCAGCGGGGGCUGGAGCUGGGCCGGGUGCAGGUGGAGGCCGGGGGGCGGCGGUAUCCCCUCGUAGGCGCGGCGCGUCGGGGGCAGCGUGUCGUAGAGGCCCUCCGGCUCCGCCUCCUGCUGGGCCCCCCGGUAUUCCUCGUAGACGGGCGAGGAGCUGUCCUCGCCGCCGCCGCCGCCGUCACAAGGGGCCCCUGGGCCCCCGACGGGCUCCUGGGGGUCUUUGGCGCGCCCCCCUGAAGGCCUCCUCUCCCAGCCUCCCGACCGGGUCCUGUCCCACUGGAAGGUGGUCCCGGCGGGCUCCGCCCGGGCCCCAGGGCCCCGGGCGCCGUCCGGGGCCCCGGGGCUCGCCAGCCGGUAGUCCAGCUGGAGGGAGCGCAUGCUGCCCCCCCGCCGGAUGGCCUGCUGGGCCUCGCUGAAGUCCCAGUGGGAGGCCAGCUCUGGGGGCCUCAGGCGGGACGGGGACAGCCACAUGGAGGUCUGCGGGGGGGACUUCCAGUG